ensembl:lncRNA
CUUCCCGCCCCGGGCUGCGGCGGCUCCCGGAACCAGUGGGACGCGGCGCGCGAACUUUCUGCAGGGACCCCAGCUUCGCUCAGGGGGCCUAGUCCCCGCGACUGCGUUUGGGCCCUUCCAGGAUUGGAUCAAAAUGGCCUCCAUGGGUCAGCAGGACAUGCUCCUCAUUACAGUUGUUGAGCCUGAGCUGAGAGAAGCCACCACCUUGAAUGCUGCCAGUCACCAUGUCAAAAGAAAGAAACUUGCACUGGCAGUUUCAAAUGCAUAUCACUUUUGCUCACAACUCAACAGCUAGAACCAGUCCCUUGACUCCAGCAACCAAAAAUGGGCCAUGAGGGGCAAUCCUACUGUACACUGGGAAGGGGAGCCCCAGAAAGAAUUGGCAAAUUGCACUAUUAGAGAAGUAGCAUCACUGAGUGCCUGUUAUAUACCCGCUCCGUGUCACAGCACUUGUGUUAUCUAAUUCUCAUAACAAUUUUUGAUAUUAACUUUAAUUUUCAAGUGAGAGAUUUGAGGCCUACGUCAAGUAAUUUGUUCAAGAGUUCCAGCUAAUAUGUAGAUCUCAUUUCAUUUUCAUCUGAUUCCAAAAUCUGUGCUGUUCCCAUUAUUUCCUGAAGCCUCCUAGUACAACAUUCAGCUGCUCACAGCCUCACAAUCUUGGGGUGAUCAAGUGAAAGACGGGGUAGGGAAUGGAAAGAAGGGUUUAUUAAGAAAUGAUUUUCUCUACAAAACCUAAGGGUCCAUAAUUCUGUGGCCUCAUUAGUAUCACGAGGGGACCAACCAAACUAACCUAACCAAGAAUCCAAAACUUAACCCUACAGAACAGAAACAAAAAGUGACUGAAAUGAGACUAUGCUAAAGGAGAUACUGAGCCUGCCAAAUGGGCCAGACAGACAGUGUUAUCAAAUUGAGAGGCAGCGUUAUGCUGUUUCUUUUUCUCAGAAGUCUUCGAGUGAUCCCUUCAGAGUGCCUAUUACCCAGGGUGAAGCCCCAUUGCUUUCAAGAGCUCUCUUGGUUGUUCCAUUAUUCUCACCCUUAAUCCAUAAGAUUAUUUACAAUUUUGGGAAGUUCAUUAAAAGCAUUUUGUAUAUAUUUUAUAUUAUUGCUCUGAAUAUACAAGUUCUGACAGGGAUUCACAUUUUGACUUGAAGAGUGUACUCAAGGAUGCCAGCGAGAAGGUUUCUAUCUAGAAGUCUCAAGCAGAGCACAGUUGUAUACUAUUGACCUGCCUCAAAAGGGAUAUAAUUUUCAGUACAGAGAGAAUGAUACUUUAAGCUUUGAGAAUAGUUUUUUUCACUGGGUCUCAUUUCUACUACGUAAUGGCAAGACCAGUAGUCAACCAAGUUGAAGACGUGGGACUUCUCUGGUAGCCCAGUGGUUGUGAAUCUGCCUGCCAAUGCAGGGGACACAGGUUCAAUCCUUGGUCUGGGAAGAUUCUGCAUGUCUCAGGGCAACUAAGCCCAGGCACCACAAGUACUGAGCCUGUGCUCUGGAACAAGAGAAGCCAGUGCAAGGAGAAGCCUGCACAUGGCAACAAAGAGGAGUCCUUGCUCUCUGCAACUAGAGAAAGCUAUGCAGCAACAAAGAC